rnacentral:hammerhead_ribozyme from 1 species
AUGUACCUGACGAGUCCCAAAUAGAACAAAACGUACGUCCUGGAU